UUUCCGUAGGUGAACCAGCGGAAGGAUCAUUAUUGUAUAACCGAGGUGCGAGGGCUGUCGCUGACCCGAAAGGUCGUGCACGCCCGAGUGCCCUCACACACAUUCAUCUCACCCCUAUGUGCACCACCGCGUGGGUCCCCCUUUGGCUUGUUCGGAGGGGGGCUUACGUUUUCACACAAACUUUGUAUGCAGUGUAGAAUGUAUUUUUUGUUUUUGCGAUCACGCAAUCAAUACAACUUUCAACAACGGAUCUCUUGGCUCUC
rnacentral:misc_RNA from 1 species